rnacentral:misc_RNA from 1 species
AAACCAUCAAGCCCUGCUUGGUCUUGGACGCGGUCGAGUGACCCGUCCGUAACCCGUUGGCGGUGCAGUCCGGCUCCAAGCGUAGCAAGAAUUUCGCUUCGGGAGUCCGCGGCGGCGUCUGCCAGGAAACACCACCCAAA